rnacentral:rRNA from 1 species
AGAAUAAACUUUUUAAUUAAAUAUAUAAAUUGACAAAAAGAUUAAAAGGUCUUAAUAUUUUAGAGGGACGAUAAGACCCUGUGAAAUUUUAUUUACAAUCAUAUUGUAAUAUAAGUAACCAUAAUAUGUUAUAAAUUAAACUGGGGCGGUGAAAAUAACUAAACUAUUUUAAACCUAACAUAUAAGUAUGGGAUUAUAGAACAUAGGUAUACAAAAUUAAACAAAUUACUCCAGGGAUAACAGCACAAUUUCUUUAGAAAGACCAUAUUGGUAAAGAAGCUUGUGACCUCGAUGUUGAAUUGGGGUAACAUACUAAAGCAAAAAUUUGUAAUGUCAGUCUGUUCGACUGUUAAAUCCUC